GGAAGGUUGACAAUGGGCAGCUGUCCCGUUAACCCGGUCAGAUCCGAAAGGAAGCAGCCGCAUAUGGGUUGUGCUGGGUCGUUGCUCGGCCUUCCACC
rnacentral:SRP_RNA from 1 species